GCCAGCGUGGCCUAGUGGUUUGAGCACUGGACCGGGACAUUGGGACACCAGGGUUCAAAUCCCCGCUUGGGCA